UGCCAUAUUCCUUAUUUAGGGAAGCUCACAUCUUUAAGAAAGUUGAACGUUGGUGGCUGUUCUAAGCUUAAAGAAGUGCCCGAGGGUCUGGAAAUGUUGGUGAACUUGAGAUACCUUGACCUACGUUUUUCAUCGACCGUUGAAUUACCUGAAAGAGUACUAGGGGGUUUGCUAAACUUGCAGCAUCUUAAAGUUUAUUUUCUAGAUGGACAAGACAUGACAAAAUUGAGGGCACUGGAGACACUCAAAUGCUCUUUUGAAGAUGCGAAUGAUUUCAAUAAGUGAACAGAGUAACCCUCGCUGUUAUUAUUAUCUCGGCAUGGCUCAAAAAGAUAUUUCUUAUUAUCGUGAAGCAUGUUAUUCUACUCAUGAGGAAUACCGUGAUAUUACUCAAAUUGAGAAUCGGAAGAGGGAAGUCAAAAUUUGGGGGUGGGAUCAUGCUAUUGUGAGUGUGGGAGGGGAAUGCACCGGCAUUUUUAUUUUGAUUCCCCACACCCGUGCAGAAAAUGACAAUGAUUGGUUGCGACGGUAUAACAAAUUUGUCUAGCAUAGGUCCGCUUAAAUACCUUGAGGAUCUAUGUAUAGGAUACUCAGAAAACUUAGGGAUGCUCUGUGGAGGAGAAGACGAAGAAGUAAUCGACAUCCUUGCCCCAGCCCUUGCGCCUCUCCUCUUCUCGAGCCUUAGGGUUUUAAAAAUAUAUGAUUGUCCAAAACUGAAGUAUCUCUUUGGGCAUGGGUCUAAAUCCAUCCUUCCGCAUCUACGAGAGAUUGAAAUAUAUGGAUGUGAGAAAAUGGUGGGGAUAAUAGCAGCAGUUACAUCCCCACCACCACAUCCGCUCCCAUUUUUCCCUAGUCUGGAACAGAUUAGCAUUAGUCGCUGUAACAAGAUGAAGAGAGCGGUGGAAUCUGAGUGGAUGCCCCACUUCCCUACUCUGAGAGGAAUCACAGCAAUUUAUUGUGAGAAGAUGGAGGAGAUAAUCGGAGGUCCUCCCCCAUACUCGCCGGAUGAACAGAUUUCUCUCGAAUCUCUUGAGGUAAGCCGUUGCUAUAACAUGAGAAAGCUGCUUACGUAUGAGUGGCUGCUCCAUCUUCGAAAUCUUCAAAGUAUCGUGGUCAGUCACUGCAAAGGAAUGGUGGAGUUGAUAAGCGGAGCGGGACAAGGCCAAGAAGGAAGCAUAACGACUUCUGUAAACAACACUCCUUCAUCCUUCCAGCCUUCUUCAAUUUCUCUCCCAAAGCUAGAGUGUUUGAAGCUACGCUAUCUACACCAGCUGAAGAGCAUAUACAAAGCCCCAAUAAGCUGCGAUUCCAUGAAAAGAUUGAAAGUGUACGGAUGCCCAGAACUGAAGAGGAUUCCUUUGCAACUGCCACUGCGUGAAAUUGAGGGAGCUUCCGCAUAUUUAUGAUGGAAGAUGAGGAAAAGUGGAAGACGGCUGAUGUGGGGAUCAUCCCGGAUGCUCAGGCUAUUCUUUCAACCUUAUCUCCAAAAAGGGUCAAAUGCUAUAGGUUAAUGAGUUUAAUUGGAUAUACGAUUGCUUCACUUCUUUAAAAGUCCUUUCAAAGAUAUAGCUUUUCUGUCUAUAUAGUCAUGCAGCUCUAAUAGUGGCCUUCUGUAGUACUGAACACCCAGGUGAAAGCAUCUCCUGCGACUUCACUCUUUGAAGAAGAACCCUGGCUGCUCGACCAUGGCUUUCCUACCAACUUGGACCUCAGGUUGCCAUAUGAACUGACUUUUUUUGUGUUGCCAUGCUUUGUCUAUUUUGAAUGCGAUCGCAUGUUUCAUUGACUACUGGAAAUGAGUCUAUCUGGUCGAUAUUUCAGGUUAGUCAAAAAGCAAUGGAUCUGAAGAUUUGGGAAGCCAAGGGAAUAGCAAAGUCUGUUUCCUAUCUUGUCUUAUAACUGAAAGGACAAUUUAUUAUUAUGGAUUGAUUUUCUUGGGAUAUUAGCCUUCUAAGAAAAGAGAGAAUUUUGUGCAGCACUACCUUUAAUCUGUUUUUGUUUAAAAAGGAUUUCAAAUAUGAUAUUGCUUUAACUUGUCGAUCGAAAAUAUUGUGUCAAAUACGCUGCUUUGCUCUGUUGGAUCAGAGCAACAUGACCCCAAUUAAACUUGUUUCGACGUUAAACUAUCGGGUAUAGAAUACUUGAUCUGCUUAGUAGUUGUAUCAUAUCUGGAAACGUAGGCCGGGAAGUUUUCUUUUCACCCUUUGUCAUACUUUGAAUUAGAAAUGUAAAAAGACGAAGAAGAAAGAAUUACACAGCUAUCACCCCUCUUUAAAUGCCUCGAAGUUGUGGAUAGAUGGAGAACCCUACAGCUUCAGCUCAAGUAACCAAAAAUCAGAGCAGUAACCACUAGCAAGUCAAUGGAAAAAAGGCCAGCUUAUAGGAUGUGGCACUUUUGAAAGUGUUUACAUUGCAAGCAACCAGUAAGUUAGCUCUGGGAAUCUUAGACAUGUUCCAUUUUUUUAGAUAUCCAGUCAGCUAAACUUUGACAUAUUAAGUGACAGAAAAACCAGAUCUCUAUGUGCAGAGAAGGAGUUUGAGCUAUUGCGUAAUGAUCCAAAUUUAGCUGAGUGCAUCGAGCAGUUAAAGCAGGUAAUGUUUUUGUUAUGCUCUGGGAUCCAAUCUAUCCUCUCAUCCGAUCUAAAUAUGCUGGGAGGAAACUUUCUUUCAUCAUUUCCAAGUAAUUGAUUGCUUUGUUACUACAGGAAAUUCAGGUACUUAGCUAGCAUAGACAUCCGAACAUUCUGCAGUAUUAUGUAAGGGAAAUUGUGAGUCACAUUUCCAUAGCAUCUAUGCGUCCCAACUCAAUGGGCGUUCAUUAUUUGACUCACCAAAAUUUCAACAUAUUCAUACAUACUCAGGUUGAGGAUUGGCGUUACAUAUAUCUAGAAUAUGCACAUCACGAUUCAAUAGACGAGUAUAUCCAGGAGCGUCUUGGGACCCUAACAGAAUCGGUUGUCAGCACUUUACCCGCUAUAUUGUGGCUGGAUUGGCUUCCCUGCAUGUUAACAACUCCAUACAUGGGUAAUUCUAAACCAUUGAUCAAGCAUCAUGAGAUGACUUGCAUAUUGGAUUAGGAUGAUUGGACCUUCUUCUUUGUGCCCCCAGACCUGUUAAAACUAUUUGGCUUGUGCAGGGAUUUAAAGGGAGCUAAUUUAUUUGUGGAUGCAUCUGGGAUAUGCAAACUUGCUGACUUUGGGAUUGCUAAACAUGUGAGUUUUUACCUCUUCACUGCAAGACUACUCAGUGCAUGUAGAAAUUCCUUGCUGAUCUGUGGUACAUUCGAAUGUGAAGUCAGGGACCCAGGGUGACUGCAUACUUCUCAUUAUUGGUUUGUGGCAUUUCAUAUGUGCAUAAAUCUAUCAUAGAUGGAUGAAAUGUUAUUAAGUAAUUUUCUUCACUUUUUUUCCCAUUGUUUCAGGUAAAGUUACCAUGUUGCAUGAACGGGAAAAGAUUUCUUGCUGUAAAUAGAUGCCGAAACCUAAUGAGAGUUCCCUUUCUACUGGUUUCUAAAAAGUUCCUAAGAGCGGUAGUGAAUAGAACGCAAUACCUUUGGCAAAAGGUUGUGGUGUUGUUUUUGCUGCUCCUCUGCAUUCCAAAAUAAGGAUAGAACUUAGUCAGAGUAAGUAAGGGCCUCCUUCCUAACAUGAGGUAAAUAAAAGUUUAUGAAUCCAUAGAAUGGAAUUCUGGACAGUAGCCAAGGUGUUGUUGCUCUCUUUUUGAGUUCUCAAGCAUUUGCUGAGGCCAUGUUGUUGAUUGCUUCAUGGUCCUUUUUCUCAGUAAUGAGCUAACAUGAGUUGAAAGUGGUUGAUUCAGUUAUCAAUAUGAUGUAUCUAUGUCUAUAAAGAUGUUGCUAUUUUAUCCGGUGUUCCAUGAACACACCAAGUAGUAUUCAGCUUUACUAAUGCCGUACCAUUUCUUAGCUAACCGGACAAGCAGCUUGCCGCUCUUUGAAGGGAAGUCUAAACUAGAUGGCUCUAGAGGUACUCUGCUUUUGUUAACGUUAAUGCGGCAUACUCAGAGGUCCUCCCCCAUACUCGCCGGAUGAACAGAUUUCUCUCGAAUCUCUUGAGGUAAGCCUUUGCGAUAACAUGAGAAAGCUGCUUACGUAUGAGUGGCUGCUCCAUCUUCGAAAUCUUCAAAGUAUCGAGGUCGCUGAGUGCAAAGGAAUGGUGGAGUUGAUAAGCGGAGCGGGACAAGGCCAAGAAGGAAGCAUAACGACUUCUGUAAACAACACUCCUUCAUCCUUCCAGCCUUCUUCAAUUUCUCUCCCAAAGCUAGAGUGUUUGAAGCUAUGCUAUCUACACCAGCUGAAGAGCAUAUACAAAGCCCCAAUAAGCUGCGAUUUCAUGAAAAGAUUGGACGUGUACGGAUGAUUGACUUAUUUCAAGUGCCAUACGUUGUUGCAAAUGGAUGUUGUACUGUAAAGUUCCAUAUUUACUAAACCAGAAUAAUCACAGGGUCCAUAGAUGUGAUGAAGUACUUGUAUAUCGACGAAAUAAGAUGCAUGUUCCUCUCGCAUGGUUUGACCAGUGUCAUCCUACGAUCUAGGCAAAUUUGACAGUGUUGCUUAAUCUAAACAUUUUGUAUGAAGUACAUUUAUUCAUCAAAAUUGAAUGGUAUUGAUAUGGCUCCAAAUAAGAAACGGAUCAGCAAAACAAAAGUAAUAAAACCCAAGGAAAGACAAAAGUAAUAAAACCCAAGGAAAAAGGAAAAGAAAAAGAAAAUCGAAGUGAUAGUGCAUCAGAAUUCCUGAAUUGGUGGGAGGAACAUUGGCAGGUUUGGCAAACCUGCAACGUCUUAGGACUUGGGAAGUGAAGGGAAAAAUAUCAAAGUUACGGGCAUUGGAGGCUCUUAAUUCUUCCGGACAGACCACAAUGGCUUUUCUCUAUUCACCGGAAAUUGGUGAUGGUGAUGAGGGCCACUCUGAUUGGAGAAAUUUCAUGUAUUUGUUGAGAUCAACGAUGAUGAUGAUCCAAGAUUUGCAACUUUCGAGUGGAGAAAUUUCAUGUAUUUGUUGAGAUCAACGAUGAUGAUGAUCCAAGAUUUGCAAUUUUCGAGAGGAGAAUCAACGUUGAUUGUUGCGAUAAUGCUUGUCAGGGCAGCAGGGAAAAGUUUUUUCCUGGUGGUUUUGCGGCUUUUGCCCCCAAGUGAUGCUGCAAGUUUGCUGGAUUUCCCCCUAACGGUUUUUUGUCAUUUCCCGGAACGUUUUUGGAAUAAUUUUGCAUGUUGUUACAAAGAUCUCAUGCGGUUCGUUUACAGGAUUUUAAUAGGCCUUAUAUUUAUAUAAUUUACCUUCACUUACUCGUUCAAAUAUUUAGGUUGGAUUUUUUCCUAUGUGCAAAUAGCAAUUUUUACGUGAAAUGCAAACUAAACAUGCUUCCUUUUUAUUAUUAUUUUUUCUGCAAUUAAAGUGAUUCCUCUACCCUAAUGCAUACCAGAAAUAUAUUCAAAAGUGUGACAGGAAAAAGAACUCCUUGAAAUUUUGCAAAGUCGGAGGCGCUUUUUAGACCAAGCGAUGUCUCUCGGCUGCAUUGAAAUAUGUCUUCGUUUUCGUUUUCUUUUGUUCUUUUCCUCAAUCUUCAANNNNNNNNNNNNNNNNNNNNNNNNNNNNNNNNNNNNNNNNNNNNNNNNNNNNNNNNNNNNNNNNNNNNNNNNNNNNNNNNNNNNNNNNNNNNNNNNNNNNGCUGUUUUUUUUUUUUUUUUGUGUGUUCUCUGCCCAAACCUUAAUGAAGACUACUAAUUGGUGUUUGGUCUUUCAAAGUGUAGCAUUAUUGAGCAUCAUCAUCAACUCAUCAAGUUCGCUAAACUCAGUCAUCAAUUAACUAACGAUUCUUGUCUAACAGGAACUGCACCAACGUAGCAAGAAAAAGAUAAACAAAAACUCAGGCAAGAACUCAUUCGUUUUCAAGACUCGGUCAUAAAAAUCGAGGAAAAGAAACUAUGAAUAUGUGCCGGAUUUUUCUCUGCUGCCGUGCCCUUUUUAACCUACUUUUGACCCAGAAUUCGACCAUUUACAGCUCUCGGUUCCUUUUGUGUGUUUUCACACUGCUAAUUUCCUUCAUUCACACACGAAGGAAAGUCGUGUUGAAAGUGGCCUCCUUUCGGCCAACCAGGAGGAGGGAACGGAAAGGACUUCACUUCGAAGAGCGGGCACGUCCAAAAUUCUCAUAAGAAUUCCCAUUUAAAUUCGCCUGGAAAUUUAGAGUCGGGUUGUGUAACAGAUUGGUUCACAAUAAUUGCACUCUUAUUAGAAAGGGCAGUACAAUCACAAGAAUGUGAGAUUACAAAUGGAUGUUAUUAUGGGUCAAAUUAUCAGUGUUUUUCUUCGUUAAUUUUUAUGAAGAUGCGAUUGAAACCUUUGAGCUCGUAACAGUAAUUUAACUUAAAAACUAUUGAGUUAUUAUAGUCUUUAAAUCAUUCUUGGGACAUUUUUUUUUUCUUUUGGAUCUGAAGAUCCAAACUACAUAUGAAACGAGUCCCGUGAUUGGGAAAACACGAAUUUAGCAUAUUAUGCUUGCUCCUAAAUAUUUUUAUGUGGAUGCCACAUAACAAGUACCUAUAUAAGUUCAUGCAAAUAGGAUCCAACGAAUUAACAAUCCAAAAUUUGAGAGAAAAUAUGAAGUGAUUUUGUGCAUUUUUGAAACUCUGUUAGUGUACAUUCUUGUAGUUUUUCCUUGUCCAAAUAUACUGAUUUUCAACUUUCACUAAGAUGUUGCAAAUUCAAUUAGAAGCAUAUAAUUAAUAGUCCUAAUUAGCCAAGUCACAAAACCAAUCAUAAGAGAUUCAUUGCGGUUGUCACAAAGUCUUGAAUUGGUGGGAUGGUUAUUCCCAUGGCAAGAGCGGCUAACAUCGCAAACUUCAUCCUCUAGGGAUUAAGUUAAAAUAUUACCUUUGGCACUUAAGGUGUUCUUAUACUCCAUAAUAAAUAUGUUACUUAUUUUAUCAAUUAAUCUACCCUCAAUAAUAUGCUAAUAUUGGUUUAGAUAAUUUGUCGAUUUGGCUAUAACUUGGAAUAAGAGACAAUAACAAUAUAAAUCUAAUAUUGAAAAAAAUUUGUAUGAUUUUUUUUUUCACUUAUUAGUUAUUCUUUUAGCAAUUACCGAAUAACAUCAUUCAAACUGCAUAAUGCCAAAUCUAUUUUUUUUUUCCAAUUACAUUAUGCCAUAAAUGUGCGAAUCAACAUACAUGAUUUCACCUCAAACAAAUGGACUUUUUUUAUGAAUAAAUUUUUUAAAAAAAAAAGAUAGAAAAAUAGCUCAUAUUAGGGCCAUUUACCAGGUAAUGCAAAUUAAAACCAAGUCUUAUUUAUGUCUAUUAAAAAUUUCCAAUGCCAUAUCAUAUCAUUUACACCUAAAAUGCAUAGAAUAUACAUUCGGAGAAGAAGGAAGAUAAGAGAAACUUAAACAAAAGAGCAUUUCUAUCUGUCGUAAGAUAGAAAGUAAACAUCAAAUUUAGAUAAUCUUACUUUAAAUACUUAUGUAGCAAGCACAUUCAUAAAAAUUAGAACAUAAUGUAAGCCUAAACAAUAAUAUAACGAUUGAUUUAUAUAAAGUGUCAAUAUAACAUUAUGCAAAAAAUUUAUACAUGUAAUAUGGGUUCAUAUCAAUAAAUGGAAUUGGAAGUAAAUUUCUGAAUCUGUGCAACCCAUGGGUCUUUGUUUACUACACAUUCUACAAAAAAAUGCAGUCAUAAGUUACAAUUUGAUGGAAUCACCUACCAAUUCUACUCACAUCAUAGGAAAUGUUUUCUAGCAGCUGGAUGGCUUGGAAUAUUUUGGGGCCAGAGAUGGACACAUUUCAUUCAUAUGAGGGUACAGGUCUACUGUAUUGUAUCCUGGCAGCUCCANNNNNNNNNNNNNNNNNNNNNNNNNNNNNNNNNNNNNNNNNNNNNNNNNNNNNNNNNNNNNNNNNNNNNNNNNNNNNNNNNNNNNNNNNNNNNNNNNNNNNNNNNNNNNNNNNNNNNNNNNNNNNNNNNNNNNNNNNNNNNNNNNNNNNNNNNNNNNNNNNNNNNNNNNNNNNNNNNNNNNNNNNNNNNNNNNNNNNNNNNNNNNNNNNNNNNNNNNNNNNNNNNNNNNNNNNNNNNNNNNNNNNNNNNNNNNNNNNNNNNNNNNNUAAAAAAGAUAACCCAACUAGGGUCAAUCAGAUCGCACUUACAGUGAACUCUGUAACAUGAAUGGAGCUAGAAAUUGGAUCAAGAGUCCUGCUGCUUUGUACAUUCAAGAACAAAAGCUACACAAGAGGCGGACUUCCCAUCACUAUAUACCCAAUGGUCUUGCUCUGGAGUGUCAGCAGUUCAGCAAAAGAUGACCCCCUCAUUUCAGUUUCGUGUAUUAGAUUAGGAAGAUCCAAGCCCUGUAUGCAACACAAUCGUAAGGUAGCCAUAAAGUAAAGUAAGUGUAAUUACAACCAUAUAACAUUUGUUAACAGAAUGUCAUCCAAGAGACAUUAGAUUUCAGUUGCACCUCAGUGUGCAAAACAAGAUGCAUAACGUCACACAGACAAUUGCAAAUUGAAUGGGACGGUACCUUUGUUCCUAGUCACUUGUUGAGUGCUUCAUUCCAUAUGUUCGCAGCAUAGGCUGGUUGCACUUGGUUCCAUAGUCAUAACAGAAGCAACCUACAAUAAUACAAUGCUUUCUAUAAAAUGAGUGAACCGCACUCCCAUCACGCGAAUAAAGCACCCCACAUGGUGAGCAUAUUACAUGCAUCGUCAGUCAGGCUGAUAGCAACUCUUAAGAAACAAUGAACAAAGUCUACUAUUUUGCUGUCUUAGUAUCAUAUAGGAGGCCAUAAAAAAUGAAUAAUUGUCAAACUAAGCCAGGUUCUUUUCCAUAACGUUAGCACUCAAUAGAGUCACAUACGAACCUGCUAUUUGGCAAAAUCACUGUUCAUUUUUUAGCCUUUUGUCUUGUUCAGUUGAAUUCAUUCGAAAUCAUGGCAUGAUUGUCUAAUUUCAACUAGAAUGUGUUGUUAGGAUCUAACACACGGCUUAAUAAUAUUUCAAGGUCUAUCAAAGUAAGAGUAAANNNNNNNNNNNNNNNNNNNNNNNNNNNNNNNNNNNNNNNNNNNNNNNNNNNNNNNNNNNNNNNNNNNNNNNNNNNNNNNNNNNNNNNNNNNNNNNNNNNNGCAUCUAAGAAUCUCAAGGCAUCUACAGAUAUACCUUGGAAGUAACACAAGGCCUUAGCGCUAGAAAAUUGUCUAAGGCAACUGAAUGCACCCACAAAAUAUAUAUAAACAUAUAUGAACGUGUACAAUCUCUGUACCACAUGAGCAUCUAAUGGCGGUAGAUAAUUUGCGCCGAUGGUGUCUAUCCAGCUAAAAAGCAUGUUGUGAUAACCAUAUGGUUUCCCAUUCAUAAUCUGUGCAAACUCCCAUGCAGCAGCUCAUUAAAUUUGGCUCACAUAUCAGGAUGCAGUGGAAGCAACGCAAUGUGGGGAUUUGAGUAAUCUUUGUUAAGCUCGAACUCCCACCAUUUUCCCAUGGUAACACAGCAAUGACAUCUUCUCCCUGCAAUGAUAAGAACAAAACAAAACUUGCAUAAUCUCUAUUACUAUGUUAGACUUCUUAGCACCUGACCCCUUUACCAACACAAAGGAACAAAGCAUGUAGCAAAAACCCAAAUGUGACCAUAAAUUUAUUAAUCAAGGUCUGCCUCAAGUAAAGGACGUCAUUUCAUCAAAUUCUAACCAUAAUCAUCAUCAGUAAGUUAUCGUCUCGUGUGUAAGGAUGGUCCUGAAGUUCAGCAGAAAAAGUUCAGACACUGCAUUCCCUAUGUUACAAAUAUGAUGAUGCUCCAAUAGAGCUUCUAGUAGGAGCCUAGAUAGGAUCAGCUGCAGUUCAACAUGAACCUGAAGCAGCAUGUCAUCGUUUACUUACUCAUCCUCUCUUACAAUCAAAAGUUUCUAUGGGAGCACAAAAAGGAAAGACCUAUCUUAUUAGAGAACAUAAGAUGAGCAAGGAGAUUUAAGGACAUAGGGGCAUGACUAAAGCACGCUUAAUAUGCAAAAUGGAACGAUCUCAAUGGGAACCAUAUUUGUGAGAGAAGAAGUCCAUGAUUCGACAAAAGUCACAUUUAUAAAGUAAUCACACAGAAAUACAAUGCCCCAAAAACCUAAGGGUUCAUGAAAUGUUAGAGAAACACAGCAGAAACCCUACUUGUCCUUUUCAAUAUGUAUGAGACCACACUUUGAUAAUCAGAGGACAUUAAAGCAGUAUUGUAUGAGUGUCUUUAAUAAUGAAUGACAGAUAAGCAUAGGGAAUUUUUUUUUUUUUUUUGGGUCGGUAAGCACAGGGAAUUAAAGAGAUGGAGAAAUAAUGACUCAAACAAUUCUGGGGGUGUUUGAAACAUUUGAACGUUUGUCUAUUGGAUAUCCCCAUAUAGGAACAAUGUGGACAAUUAUUGUGGAAGACUGGCAUACUUACAGCCAUGUUAAUAUUGUGUCUAUGCAAUUGGUUUAAAACUUUACUUCACAAUUACAAUUGCAGAGACAGCAGCAGGCAAAAAGAUUGGAUGAAAUGUCGAACAUCAAAAGCAAUCCAUCAAUGUAUGGAAAAAAAAGAACGNNNNNNNNNNNNNNNNNNNNNNNNNNNNNNNNNNNNNNNNNNNNNNNNNNNNNNNNNNNNNNNNNNNNNNNNNNNNNNNNNNNNNNNNNNNNNNNNNNNNNNNNNNNNNNNNNNNNNNNNNNNNNNNNNNNNNNNNNNNNNNNNNNNNNNNNNNNNNNNNNNNNNNNNNNNNNNNNCCAACCCAAAGCUUUCCUUCAGCAUCCCUUAAGCACACAGCUGUGUGACCAGCAUAUGCGCCACUGACCCAUUUCUCUAGAGUCCCAAAACCACCCCACCUUCCACGAAUUUUUGAAAUUGCAAUGAAGUCUCCAGAGUGGAUAUCAUCAAUGCUGAUGUUUGUAACCCAGGGCUGGGGACGUUGCUCAAAUGAAGCUCCCAUAUGCUUCUUGAGAAAACCAAUGUUAGAUUUCUCCCCUCACCCGGUAUUUGAAAACAAGGAAACACAUCCCACAGUGCUUGAAGGGUCCCAAGCAUCCCAGCUUGCAUCAGAAAGAUUGACACUCCUCUACUUUUCACCUGCAAUCAAAAUAAUGGAAAAUCAAAGUUUGACAACUCGCCAAUAUGCACAAGCAAGAGCAGAAGAGAAAAAAGAUAAUUGCAGCUUACAUAUUCAAACUCAGCUUUUCCUUCCCACUCUUUGAACUCAAAUGUGUGCUCACGAGAUAAAAGAUACUAGUCCCAUGUCACGCAGUAUGGGGUUGCAAAGACAUAAAUAUCCAUACACGUCCAGCUAUGGGCUUUGCUCACCUGGAUGAGCAAUCCAAACUCAUGGUUACAAGCCGGAUACCUACAACUAGUUGUUAGUUUCCAUAUUCAGCAGAACUAGAUGCAAAAACAAGGACUAUGAAGCAUCAACACGAGGCAGUACCCACCCAAACUGGAAUAGCCUCCAUAAGAUAAUUUGAUUUUACAUCAAACGAAACAAUUGUACUUGUAUGAGCAACCAAAUCACUAAAUCCUUCUUCAACCACUUAAAACCUAGACACAAAAGACUCAAGUGACCAACCAUGGUACCAAUUCGUGGAGCUUAAUCAAAGUACAAACAAGCAGAUGAAAGGAGAAGGAAGAAAAAAACUUAGCUAGUGACGAAAUCCACUAGAAACAUAUUGAAGUAAGAACUGAAAAAUUCCAUCACUCAGAUUCCAACAUAAAUAGCAGAUGAGAAAAGAGAACAGUUGGGAUCAAGUGGCAUGGGCCCAAACAUCGAAAGGAUAUUCUCUAACGUCCUUUNNNNNNNNNNNNNNNNNNNNNNNNNNNNNNNNNNNNNNNNNNNNNNNNNNNNNNNNNNNNNNNNNNNNNNNNNNNNNNNNNNNNNNNNNNNNNNNNNNNNAGUGAUUUUCUUUCACAACUCUAUAGAUAAGUAUGACGCACACUUCAGUUGGUAAGAAAAAUUCGUAAGUAGAUAGAAACUCUAUCCAGUUUAGAGCUUUGAAUCCAUUAGAAAAAAUCGACCUCAAAUUAACUAAAAUAGAAGCUCAAACUAAGUUAAUCGGAAACUGGGAAAAGCUGCCCAAACGAUGGCCAUUAGACCCCAUCAAACAAACUCCUACAACCUCACAUCUCCUAGAAUUAUCACACAAUCCGAACUGCAGUGAAUUGAAUUAAGCACUAACAUUCGACCAGAGAACCUUAAAAGCUCGUGAACAGUGACUGUCUCUGCACAUUACCAAGCCGCCACAAGCUCAAGCAUCCCAAAAUCUUCCAGAAUCGCACUCAAACACAAGUAUUUCCAUUCCAUCCCGUUCCCCACUAUUCACCAAACAAAAAACAAGACUUGGAAUCAUCACUCCAGUCCAUUCCUUUCCCCAUCAUUUCCCGAUUUCAUUCCAUUCCACCGUACCAAACCCAACGUAAUAGUCAACUAGAAAACCUCAUCUUCCAGAAUGGCACUCAAAACCAAACGGAGACCAAGCAAAAGCGACGCGAUAAAACUAAAGAACGGACCUUAAUGUGAGGCGUGCCUCCGCCGAACUUGCUCCCGGUGUUGUUGUGGAACUCCAACCAAGCGGUCGGAGGAAAAAACGGUGCCGACGAAGGCGGGCAACAGGUCCAGGGGACGGCGAAGGGCGUUGAGGAUGGGCCAGGACAGCUGCUUCGGCAAUAGAUGGAGUAUGUUCUCCAUGGUGGAAUGGUGGUUUCGCGGCUCGAGAGCGCGGGUUGAGCAGAGAGGAGAACGUGAAGAGGAAGAGAAGCAGCAGAAAUUGGCUGACGAGAAGCCAUUGAAAUUGCGAGAGAGAGAGAGUCACCUCUCCAGCGACGGUCCACUUCUUUUUAGUGUCUCGCGCUACACUAUAAAAGGUGUAGGGGUAAGAGGAGCCACUCGUUUUGAUUACAUCCUUGGACGCUUGGUAAUUUAGGGUGCUUAACCAGUUAAAUGAAACAUUAAAGCAUAAUCGGGGCUGAAAAUAUUCUGUAUUCUUAUAUUAUGUAUUAAUGUUGGCAAAAAUCUUAAAUUAUAUCCAUCGUGACAUUAAUGUCUCGAAUUAGUAUUGAUUUCGUGGCGAACAAAAGUUAAGAUUUUUAGAGACAAGCUAGAGGUAUUUCCACUUCAAAUAUAAGUUUUAAGUGUAAAGAAGGGCGAUUAGAAGUCUCCAUGGAGGACCUAACCCUAUGGGAAGAUAUAUUGCUUACCCACCCCCUUGUAGCUUACCGUCAAACUACGGCCAUUGAUAGCUUCAAAUUGGCUUAUAUUGCCUAUCCCUCACCCUCUUAUAUUGCCUCAACAACUUUCACUACACCGCCCUCUCAGGACUUAGUUAACAUCAAGAGUAUCCUUUUAUUUAUAUGUUGUCAGUACGAACUUGACAUUUAGCUUGAUUUCGCAAUAACCAUGCAAUCUUCCUUGUUGCUAAAUUGUGUCUUGAGUUUGAGCCGAAUCCACACCUUAUUGCUCAAAGUCACGCACGAAAUGCAAUGCGCACACAAGUCUUGGACCUUUUUUCUCUACUUCAUUAAUGCUAUGCUUGCACGAAUCUCCUCCUGUGUCCCCUUAUCAUUUUAUCUUCUUUUUUUGGUUCGAAUCCCCUUUUGUCAUUGAAGGAGCUGAACGUCCAUUUUUCGCCCUCACUCCACAGCGCUCCCUAUUUCGGAUUCUCGCUCGAUCAGCGAAAUGAGAAAACUUGGCGCCGAAGUGGACGUCGGAAAUGGCGGUGAUGGCGACGUUCUUGAGGCCUAGCCUCAAUAUUCGAGUGGAAUUGAGAGGGUGCUUCCAUUCCAGACAGUGGUGGAGAACUGUGACGCUCACGGGGUGAUCGAGACCCCGGAGAUUGGAUCCGAGCACAGAGGCACGUGAGUCGUUUUCGCGUUUUCAUGGAACAGGGGUGGACGUUGGUGAUCUGGAUGGGGAAAGGAUGGAGCUUGAGGAGGAUGGUCAGGGACGCGUAUAGAAACGGACUCGACUUAGGGUUCAAGAACGGGUUUACAAAUGGGAUUCAGGUUGCGAAAUGGACCUGCAUCUUUCUAGGAUGGAGAAGUUUUUUCCAGAAAUUGUGAGACGAUUUCGGGAAUUUGAAAGAAACGAGAAGGACCAGAGCACAGGGCAAUUUUAAUUUAUUUUGGCCAAACGUUCGAGCAAUAGUUUCGAAUUACUAAGGAGUAUAUAUAAAUUUCAGCACGGUGACCUCUUUGGUUCAGAUCGGAAAAGUAGUGUGGGGGUGGUGUCUCGCCGCCCUCUAGCGAUACACAAGGGCCUGGCAGUGCAACGUUGUGGGCUUAGUAGGGCUUUUAGGGCUUAUUUGCCGGAUAUUCAUCGAUUUCUGGCCGAAUACAUGGCAACAACCAACGGCGGAGGUUGUUCUCAUGGGACAGCCACAGCCAUGGUCGCCGUCCCCUGAAAUGAUUAAGUUAAACAAUUUGUCAAAUUGCUUAAUUCAACAAUUUCGCACUCAACAGUGUCGACUUCGUAACUCACUUUCUCUGAUGAAAAAUGACCAAUAUCAUGCGUUUAAACCACAGUAGGCAUCGGCUAAGAUCAAAACGUUCAGAUUCAGCCGCAACAAGUCAACGAUGAGGCCCUUGAAAGACUUCUAUCCUUCCAAAGUCUUUUCUUGACUUAGGCAAUUCCAUUUGUUUCUUCACAUACUUGUUCAAGUUUUUGGGUUAGACUGUCAUGUGCUGAUGACUUAAUUAUUGCGUGAUUAUAUUAUUAAACUAAAUAAUUUGAUAGAUUAUGAUUGAUCUUAUUAAGCCAACUGCAUUUGAUAUUUUCACGUUAUUUGGCAUACAAAAUGUCGAUAUAAAUAGUAUAAUUCUAGGGGCUAAAAUUGUAAUUGACUCAAAGGCGAACGCGUAUUUGUGAGUAAUACCGUCAAACUCCUUUUGAGAUUCUCCUUCCAAGGCAUGUUCUCCUACUUAGAUAACUCGAUCAGUUUCCUCUUUUUUUCAAUAAUAUAAUUUAAUUUCCCUUUAUUAAUUUUCUCUAUUUAAAUCUAGUGUAUUUCUCUACUAGUGUUUUCGCUCCUGGUGAAAUAAGGGGAUUAAAUUUAUUUGGUCGGUUAACUAUCAACGUCAAUUAAGAUUUAAUUUCUUUCUAUCUCUUUUUGUAAAUAUUUAUACACAAAAUUCUUAUUGUGUAUUUUUGUCAAUAAAUUAUUUUCAUGAUUUAAUAAUUCAUAUAUUUUACCAAAAAAAUUAUUUAAAUUAAUUUUUUAAAUACCAAUUGUUCCCACACACAUAAUGCAUAGCGGGUGAUAAAUAAAAAGCAGAAGAUCCUCAUAGGAGAAAAGGAGCCCGCGUAUAGCACGAUUUCAUUCUCUAGAAUUAAUUAUUUUCUUAAGAAGGUAUUUCACAAUUUCCAAGUUGUCUUUGAAUUAAUCGAGUCUUUCUUAAAUAUCAAUCUACAUAUUGGCUUUCUAAUUGUUGAAUGGGUUUAGUACCCAUGGAUAAUAAGUAAUGCUACAAAGACCUUAGAAGACAAAAAGGAUUUUCACCCUAUAUGAUGUCAUGUGUUCUCAUCGCCCUAAGAACAUAUGUUAGCUUGUCAUACUAUCUAAUGGGCUAGGAUGCAAAAGUCACAAUAUAGCCGUAUGUAGUAUGGCCAUUAAAAAUGCAGAAUAAACAUGGUUUCUUUUUAUUAUUAUUUUUUUUUUACGAAUAAAGUGAUUCAUUUAUUCAAAAGCAUAUUGGAAAUAUAUGACAUGAAUGAUUUAAAAAGUAAAGAAAAAGAAAUUCCUUGAAAUUUUGUAAAGUCGGAGGUGCUGCUCAAAUCGAGGAGUGCGGGUGGUCCCAGCAAAGUGACGUUAAUGUACAAGAAACAAAAGGUAGGAAAAGUAAUAAGAGCAACGUGCAGAAACGACGACGGCUUGGCGUGGAACGAGCAUGGCUUUAAGCAAACACAGAAGCGGCGCAUCUCUCGAUAUUUUGAUGUCGCCUAUUCUUCCUCUUCUUCUUCUUUUUUUUAAACUGAUAAGGCUGCUCCGGAGCCUCUCUUCAUUUUCGUUUUUUUUGUUUGUUUUUUCCUCCUCAUUUUUCCAACCACAUCCUCACCAUAACGCGCCUUCUCUCUUUUGUCCCCUAGCUCUCCCCACUUUCUUUCGCCCGACUCUCUCUUCUUGUCUUGCUUUCUUUUUUGGGUUCCCCGCCCAAACCCUUAAUGAAAGAUUAAUUGCUGUUUAGUAUUUGUUGACGCCUCAAAUUUUAAUUAAGUUUAUUUUAUCUUAUUAAUUAAUUUUUUAUUUUAUUUAUCUUGUCUUUUUUCGAAAUAAAAACAGCAAAGCAAAGCAAAGCAAAAGAAAAAAAAAAGAAAAAAAAAAAAGAGCAGCCUUUGUAUGGGCCCUCGGCCCAUUUCGUCUCAGCCCAGCCCCCCCCACUUCUUCUUCUUCCUCGCGCAGUUGCAGUGCACAAGCAGAGGGCGCGACGCCGGAGCGGAGGGGAGGAGCAACAAUGGCGCACGUGGAGCAGGGGGCGGCUGGCGUCGGAUAAGAACGUGGGAGGGGCAGCUGGCGUCGGAUGGGACGCCGGUUCGGCCGGCGGAGGCCGCUUGGCGCACGGGGACCGGCGGUCGAAGCUCCGUCGACCGGCUGCUCCCUCGCCUAUAAAUAGGCCCCCGUUUCCGUUGUCGAAGGGGCACGCCAGAAGAUCGCAAGCUUGGAAACUUCUUCCUGAGAGACUUCGGAGGAGGUUGAAGGGCGAGCGAGAGAGAACUCGGGUCGCGAGUUCGGCUGACCUCCCACUGAGAGACUUCGGGGGAGGCUGCCGGCGAGCGAGUCCGAGGUGGUCAGAUCCGGCCGGUGGAGGCUCGGAUCUGGCCGGAAGAGAGAGAGGCCUGCGAGCUCCGAGAGAUCCCCUGAGAGACUUCGGGGAACUCAAAGAGCGAGCAACGACCUCCCUCCGAGAGACUUCGGGGGAGGCCGGCGGCGAGCGAACCCGGAUCUGCGAGAACUCGAGAGCGGAGAGAGGAGAGAGAUCGAAGCCGCGAGCAUUCAAGCUUCCCCCGAGAGACUUCAGGGGAGGCUCGACGCUCGCGAGCCCAGAUCAAAGGGAGGGAGCAGAGUUCGGGCACCCUCCGCCGUCGUAGCCGCCGCCGUCGCCACCGUUCGCCGUUCAAGCUGCCGUUCACGGACAGGUAGUGCUACCGCCGCCGCCGCCGUCGCCGUCGCCGUCGCCGUCGCCAUAGCCUCCCCCCCCUCUCCACAGUUCAACCGCCGUCGCCGCCGUCACCGUCGUCCCCGCGGUUGUGCCUCGGCCCUCUCCCCCCUCGGCGCCGCGGAUUCGCAAACCCUAGAUUUCCGGGUCACGAAGCGGAUCCGGGUUUGGAAAGCGGGUAGGGUUUUCGCGAUUUAAGGGGCGGCGGAAACCGGGUCGGGAGUUGGGUCGGACCCGGGUAGGGUUUCGCUAGGAACCCGGGUCGUCGGGCCGGGCCGGGCGUCCCCAAACGCCCGACCACGGCGUCGUUUAAAAAAAAAAAAACGAUGAAAAAUCUGACUCGGGCCCGCGUUUGGGUCGCCGACCCGGGUCGGACCCAACCCGCGGAUCCGACCCGGGUCGGUUUUAUUUUGUUAUUUUAAUAUAAAAUAAUAAAUAUUUUAUUUUCAAAAAAAAAAUCAAAAAAUGUUUUAUUUUCAAAAAAUAUUUAAAAAUGUUUUAAUUUCCAGAAAAUCAAAAAUAUUUAAAAAAUAUUUAAAAAAUGUCGAAAAAUGUUUUAUUUUCUAAAAAAUCGUGAAAAAUCAAAAAUAAUUUAUUUUCCAAAAUAUUUUGAAAAAUAAUAAAAAAUAUUUUAUUUUCCAAAAAAGAAAAUUAAAAAUAUGCCAAAAAUCCAAAAAAAACCAAAAAUUCAUGAAAAAACAAAAAAAAAAAUUCAGAAAAGCCAAAAAGACAUGUGUUUUUCAAAAAAAAAAACCCAAAAAAUCCCUUUUGCGUCCAAAAAUAAAAAAAUGACUCAAAAAAUGUUUUUCCUCCAAAAAAUGCAUGGAAAAUCUCUCAAACAUCCAAAAAAGCCUUAGAAUCCUUAGGGUUUAAACAAAGAUUAAGUACCGAAAGGGCAUUAGUGAUUAACUAAUGUAAUCAAGUCCCCGAUCCUAAUUUCUCUAGUUACGCAGGAGCGAGUAUUUCUCCCGAUACUUCGCUUGGGUUUUUAAUCGACCCACUCCAAAUCGAUUAGUGGCGACUUCAUUUUAAAAAUUGAUUUAUAGGUUAAAAACUCAAACUAUUAAAGUCGUGAAUUGAUGAACUUGGGAGAGUAUGGGCAUAAUUAAAAUUAGCCGAGCCAUUAGCCUUCUUUUUUUGGUUCCCCGCCCAAACCCUUAAUGAAGAUUAAUUGCUGUUUAGUAUUCCAAAGUCCAGCGUUAUCGGGCCCCAUCAUCGACCUAUCAAGUUCGCUAAACUCAGUCAUCAAUGGACUGACUAUUUUUGUUUGAACACGAGCUGCACCAACAUGACAAGAAAAAGGAAAAUAAAAACUUAGGCAAGGGCUCAUUGAUUUCUAACACUUGAUCAUACAAAUUUUUGAAAAGAAAUUUUAAUAUCAUUGCUUUGAGGAUGGACGCACUCUCAACAAGUGAACUCGCGUGAUCAAAUUCAGUAAUACGACAGAAUCAUCUCAAAGAUUUAAGUUUAAUAGUUAUUUUAUACGGCGAUCAUCAUAGGAAUGUGGCAAUUUCGAGCGCCUGCAAUGCGAUGUCUUGAUGUAUCAUAGGAAUGUUAUCUAGAUAUACAAACGGCAAAGGAGCAACAACAUAUCGGCAAUGACUUGGGUAGUAAUGAUGCAUCUAUGAGGCCUAUCCUUAUUCGAUUUUUUUUCUAUUUGUUUUUGUUCAUGUUUUCUUUCUCAAACCACUCUAAUAUGAAUUAAAUAGUAGAUAUCUUAAUAUAAAAUCAACAAUAGAAUUCUCCGUUUCGUUUUGGAACUCAUCGAAUGAGACUUUUUCUCUAAUUUUUUUACUAAUCCAUUUAGAUUACAUUUUAUAUUAUCACUAAAGUUUUAUUGUAAUUUAACUUGUUGUUAUAUCAUCCAUAGAAUAAUCAUAUUAUCGAUAUUGUAGAAAACAGAUAAAUAAAAUCAAACAAAAUCGAAAUGCUCAUUAGACCAUAGAAUAAUCAUAUUAUCGAUAUUGUAGAAAACAGAAAUUUUAAUGAUUUUUAACUACUAACUAAAAUAUGUAAUGUGUUUCUAGCUAGUAUCUCGUUCUGUUUUCUUCUCACCCCCUAGCUCUAUCCGCAAUGAUCGAGCCGUGAUCAUGUGAAUGCUUGACUAAAGCCUCCCUUCAGCCGCGUUUUUUCCUGCUUUUUAUGUCCCUACUUUUUUCAGUAAAUCUUUGCCCAAGAUAUGGUCCAUUAUGAGGGGGUGCUGGUUUUUCUAUGUCGCGUCCGCUUCUGAACCACCUUUUUGAACCAGAAUUCCACGAUUUCUGGCCUCCCUUUCCCUGUUUCUGUUCCUUCGUGCGUUUUCACGCUGCUAAUUUCCUUCAUUCACACCCCGCGGGAAUGCCGUGUGGAAACUGGAAAGUAGCCUCCAGUCGACCAUUUCGGUCAGCCAGAAGGAGGGAGCGGAGAGGACUUUUAUUUGGAGAGCAGGCUGCGUCCAAAACUUCCAUAAGAAUUAUCAUUUAAAUUCACUGCGGAAAAUUUAGGGUUAGAUCGUGUAAGGUUGGUUCAUAAGAAUUCACAAUCAGGAAUGCAAUGGAGAGAGAGAGAGAGAGAGAGAUUUAUGGGAUUAUGAAUGUAUUUUUAUUAGGAGUCAAAUUAUCAGUGAAUUUGAUCGUUAAAUUUCAUUAAAAUGCGAAUGAGACCUUUAAACGGAAAUUUAUGUAUCAACAAUAAUUAAUCUUACAAAUUAGUAAGUAAUUGUUUCUCGUUAAAUCAUCCCUUAGUUGAAUUUUUUUUUCUUUUUAGUCUAAAGAUCUAAAUUGCAUACAAAAUUGGUCUUGUGAAUUCAUUAGUAUAGGUAAUAUUCUAAAUUUGAGUCAAUAUUUAUGCAAAGUAAAUAAGCAGCAGUACUCACGAAGAUUUUCCUAUUGAUUUCUAGAGGCAAAAAAGAGCAAUGCUAUGCAUAAGAGAACUGGAUAUUUAUAUAUAUUAAGAUGGAUAGAAAAUGAUAAGGAAAAUAGUGCGGUAGCUCUCUUAAGAAAAUUUUGUUUUUAAUUUUUCAUUUUCCUUGGAAAGUCUAGAGAAUUUGGCAAUUAAGUAAACCAUAGUUUAACAUUCCAUAAUAAUUUUCCACCUCAUUCGGUGCACUAAUUUUUUUAUAUAUUUACAUAUUUAGCACCAUUUCGGGCAAGACAAAGAAAGAUAAGUAGGCUCAAAAGUUUAUCGGGUGCACGUUCGCAUGAGUUUCCUCGUGGUUAAAGCUGAAAUUGGCUCAAAGGCGAACGCGUGUUCUUGAGUAACACUGUCCCACUCCCUUUGAUGACGAUGACAUCAGAGACAAUUACCCGACACUAUUGAAAAGAGAGAGAGAGAGAGAGAGGGGGGGAAGAGGUCUUAUCGUGGCUUCCAAAAGAGGCCACUUGAAAUCUCUUAAAAAAAGUGAAAGUUAUGCGAGGUGGAGUAUAAAUAGACAAAUUGCUCAUUAUUUUUGUUAAUAGAUUAUUGUCUAGAAAUGAAAAAGAAAAAAAAAAGAUGUAAAUAGUGAAGCAAUGAGGCAGCAAUAAAAUAGGAAACUUGUCAACCCCCAUGCAUUAUAUUAAAUUAAAAUAUUAUUAAGUCCAUUGUCGGUCUAGAAAAUAAUUUGCACAUUCCCGAUUAAGAGUUGACACGUGAAAUAAUUCACUGGCAAAAGCAACUUCAAACACAUAUGUCACUCAUUCACGAUAAAUGUGUAUUGAGGUUUUAACAUUGAUUAUGCUUCCAACAAUAAUCCAUUAAAUUACUAGGUUUUUCGGCUAACAAUUUUUCUAUAUUUAGUUUAAAAUAUUAAAAUAAUAAGACCAAACAGAUAAUAUAUUCGGAUGUUCAAAAUUUUUACCCAUGGGUUAAUUAGGAAUGCCAACUAUUUAAUAAAAUAUUCAAAAUAUUAUUAUUUCAUAGUAUCUAGAGAAUGAAAAUAAAUAAAUAAAAAAAGUCAAAGUCAUGCGAGGGUGAAAUAAAAGCAAUCAAAUCAUUAAAGAGAGAAAAAUCAUUUUUAUUUAUUAUAGUAAUAGGUUAUAGUGUAGAAUGAAAACGAAAAAAAUAUAAAUAAAAGAAAGGGUAAAAGCAUGCGACGACACCUAUCUAAUGUGCCAUUGCUCCAGGAGGCCUCCACGUAGCACCCGAGUUGUCUAUUCCACCGUCCAUCUCGCCGACACGACGGACGGGAAAAAAACCCACGCCGGACCCCCCCCCCCCACCCCCGAAACGGCACAUGUUGGUGUCAGCGGGAGCGUCGGACCGGGCCCCGCCCCGGUUCACGAGGAUCGCCACCGAUGACGUGGACAUGUCGAGAAGGGGGGCAGGAUCAAAGCAACGGACGGCUUGGAGGUGUGGUCGUUCGGCUUGUCGUACGCCUGGCCAUGUGAUCACAUGAAUCGGGCGUACUACGGUCAGGGGGAACAAGGGGAGAGGGUGGGGCCCGUUGGGCCGGGGAAUGUAGUUAGGCCAUGAUGAUGGACGGCUGGAUGGACGCGUGGUCGUUCGGCUUGUCGUACGCUUGGCCAUGCCAUAAGUCGGGGAUUUCUCGGGGUACGGUCAGGGGGAACAAGGGGAGUGUGAAUGUGAAAAUCGAUCCCCAAUGAACACAAUCAACGCCUCCUGACCCAGCAUCUAGGGGGGAGAAGGUUGUCAUUGGUGAUUAGGCCUUGUAAAUUGGUAUUUUCAUGGUUUGAUUUUAAUUUGAUAAAUUUACCUAUACAAAAGUGCUAAAAUAAUCUAAGCGGGGAGAUCAACCAUAGUCCAACAGAGACCAAUAUUAGUUUGACGUGAUAUUGCUAUGGUUGUUACGUUUGUUGUCCGACAAUGAUAUAACGUGCGAUUAUGUUUGUGACUACGGACUUCUGUAUUGAGUUGUGAUUUACGUGCUUUUUCUAGCGGUAAAAUAUAACAUAUUUGUAACUUUUAACAAGGUCGCUAAUUCUGUUAAAAAAAAAACAGGGUCGUUGAUUAGAAUUCGAUACUUUGACCAAGUCCAAGUCUCUCCCUUUCUCUCACACAUAGAAACAUGAUGAAAUGAUAAACGACGGAGACGUUUCUUGCGCGUGUUCUAAGCAAGUGUGCUGUUUUCUCUUAUGGCAGAGUCCCUCUCGAUUCUUCACCAAAACCUGUUCAUUCCCAUUUCCAGCAGCAGUUGAAUGCCCUUGUUCCUCUAGGAAUUGGGUUUCCGCCUUUGAAAGAAGAUGAGAAAGAAGUAGUCGAGAGAAGAGGAGAAGAGAAUUUUCUUUGUAUUAUGUAUAUCAUUCAAUGUACAAUGUCUACUAUGUUUAUAAUACAAAAUGUGUAUAAGAAAAGCAAGUAAAUAUUUUACAAUUUGGAUCCGAUUAGAUCCGAUACUAAAUGAUCGUGAUUGAUCUUGAAUGAUGUUGUGAAUCUUCAUGUGUAUCUUCUAACAAUCCCACUCAAGUUGAUGGCUUGUAAAUAUCCGAGAUGCCUAGCUUGCUUAGAAGAUACGCGUGCUGGCUUUGACACAAGGGUUUAGCGAAGACGUCCGCUGGUUGCUCUUCUGUUCGGAUCCCCAGUGUCUCGAUUAUCCCUUGUUGGAUCUUUUCUCGUGCAAAAUGGCAGUCCACCUCUAUGUGUUUCGUUCUUUCAUGAACUAUUAGGUUUGAGGCAAGUUUGAGGGCCGCAUCAUUAUCCCAAAACAAUUUGGUUGGCCCUUCAACUUGUACCCCAAGAUCUCGAAGAAAUCCACGUAGCCACACUACCUCACAUGUGGUCUUUGCCAUGGCUCGAUAUUCCGCUUUUGCUGAGGAUAAUGAAACAGUCGGUUGCUUCUUUAUCUUCCAUGAAAGUAAAGAAUCCCCUAACUUGAUACAGAAACUUGUUAUGGACCUUCUGCUCAUCGAACAUGUCGCAUAAUCUGCAUCACAAUAUGCAGUCAUCCUCAUAUCACAUUUCUUGGAGAGGAGAAUCCCAAGACCUGGACAUUUCUUCAAAUAUUUUACCACUUUGAGUGUUGCAUUCAUGUGGGACUGCUUUUGAUUGUGCAUGAACGACUAGGAGUUUGCACAGCAUAACUGAUAUCCGGCCUGGUUAUAGUUAAAUAUAUGAGUUUCCUAACAAGUUUCUGAUAAGUCAUUGGAUCCUCAAUGUAGGAUCGGGUUCUUAAGAGAUUCCAGUAUCAUACUCUGCUGUGGUCAAUUUGAUAUUUUGCUUGAUUGGAAUUACAACCGGCUUACAUCCUGACAGUCCGACUUCUGAUAUGAUUUCUAAGGCAAAUUUUCUCUGGUUGAGAGAUAUUCCUUGGUCUUAACUAACUGGACAAGCAGCUUACUGCUCUUUGAAGGGAAGUCUAAACUGGAUGGCUGCAGAGGUACUCUGAUUUUGUGAAUGUUAAUGCUACAUUCCUUUUUUUUAACAUGGUGGAAUGAUGUAGUCUAUCCUGCGGCUCAUACAAUCCUUGAUGGCAUAUGAUUACAGCACAGAUCUCAAUCGUACUGCUAACAUCUGAAGUUUGGGAAGUACUAUUUACAGGAAACCUCCUUGGAGCGAGUAUGAGCGGGNNNNNNNNNNNNNNNNNNNNNNNNNNNNNNNNNNNNNNNNNNNNNNNNNNNNNNNNNNNNNNNNNNNNNNNNNNNNNNNNNNNNNNNNNNNNNNNNNNNNUUUUCUCUGUUUGUCCUUCCAAGUAAUAUGCUUCUAACCAAAUAUGUGUCACCGUUUUCUGUUGGAAGUUCGGGACUGUGCAUAUUACCAUUUGUUAUGUGAUAUGUGUCUUUAUUUUCUAUUUAAGGUUUAAUCAUUAAUGUAGGGUCAAGCUAUAUUUAAGGUGAUGCAAAGUUCUCCACCAAUACCUAAGACGUUAUCUGCUGAGGGAAAGGAUUUCCUGCAGUGCUGCUUUUGAAGAGAGCCUGCCGAGAGGCCUUCAGUUGUUAUGCUACUUGAGCAUGCUUUCUUGCAAAUUUGAAGUGAUGACUGACUUAUUUCGAGUGCCAUACCUUGUUGCAAAAGUGAUGUCGUACUAUAAAGUUCCAGAUUUGCUAAACCAAAAGUAUCAUGAGGUCCAUAGGUGUGAUGAAGUACUUGUCUAUCGACAAAAUUAAAUGCAUGUCUGAGAGGUGGCAUACUUUGAUCUAGGAAAUUUGACAGUAUUGCCUAAUCUAAGCGGAGAUCUAGGCAAUUUGAAAGUCUUGCCUAAUCUAAACAUUUUACUAUGGAGUGCAUUCUUAUCAUAGACAUUUUGUCUAUUACUUUAAUUUCAUCAAAAUUGAAUGGUAUUGAUAUGGCUCCAAGUAAGCAACAAAUCGGCAAAACACAAGCAAGAAACCCAGAAAAGAAAAAGGAGAAAGAAAAUCCAAGUGAUGAUGCAUCAGAAUCCCUGAAAUAAUUUUGGAAGCAAGUACUCCGUCGAUUUGGUUGGGGGAACAUUGGCAGGUUUGGCAAACCUGCAGUAUCUUAGGAUUGGGGAAGUGAAGAGAAGAGUAGCAAAGUUAUGGGCAUCGGAGGCUCUUGAUUCUUCCUUUAAGAAUGUCGAUCUCAACAAAUACAUGAGAUUUCUCCAACUAGAGUGGCUCUCAUCUCCAUCACCAAAUUCCGGAGAGUUAAGAAAAGCCAUUGGGUGUCUGUGGAUGUAAAUGAUGAUGAUUCAAGAUUUGUGACUUCCGAAAGGAGAAUUGACGUUGAUUGUUGCAAAUAGCUCGUGACUUGUGUCUAUAUUUCAUCUUGUGUCUAUGAAAUGCAAAUAGCCCAUGAAUUUUGUUUAAAAUAUCUCACGUCGUUCAUUUACGAGAUUUUAAUGGGCCUAAUAUUUAUUUAAUUUCCCUUCAACUAUUUGUUCAAAUUUUUGGGUUGGACUUCCUCAUGCGUGCGUGAUGGCGUUAUUGCACGAGUAUAUUGCGUUAUCUACUCAUCACCAAUACAUCGCAAGAUUCAUCGUGACAGGAGCUUUUGCUCAUGGGGCUAUGAAAAAGUUAAGUGCUAAAAAAUAUCAACUCUAUAUUUUUGAUGAUAUACUAAACAAUUUGAAAGACUAUGAUUGGCCUUAGUAAGUAAGUCACAUUUUACAUUUUCACGUUAUUUGGCACACAAAAUGUCGAUAUAAUUAGUAUUAAUUCAGGGGCCGUAAUUGUAAUUGGCUCAAAGGUGAGUGCAUCUUCAUGAGUAAUACCGGCAAACUCCUUUUGAGAUUAUCCUUCCUAGGGCAUGUUCUCCUACUUAGAUAACCUGAUAAUUUUCCUCUUUUUUCGAAUAGUAUAAUUUAAUUUCCCUUUAUUAAUUUCCUCUCUCUAGAUUAGUGCAUCUCUCUACUCGUGCGUUCGUUCCUGGUGAAAUAAGGGGAUUAAAUUAAUUUUGUCGGCUAACUGUCAACAUCAAUUAAGCUUUCUCUCUCUCUCUUCAUAAAUACUAAUACACACAUCUCUUACUGUGUAUUUUUAUCAAUAAUUUCUUUUCAUUAUUUAAUAAUUCAAAUAUUUUAUAAACAAAGACUUGAAUUAAAAUUUGUAAAAAUUUGUAAAUACCAAAUGUUCCCACACGCAUAACGUGUGUAUCGGGUGAUAAUAAAAAGAGGAAGAUCCCCAUUGGAGAAAAGAGGUCCAGAUAUAUUAAUACGGUUUCAUUCUCUAGGAUCAAUUAUUUUCUUGGGAAGGUAGUUCGCGAUUUUCGAAUUGUCUUUGAGUUGACCGGGUCUUAAGCGACUUUUUUUUCUUAUGACUCUCGCCUGCAUUUGGACUCUUAUCUCCAUUUUCGUUUUCUUUUGUUCUUUUACCAAACCCUAACCAUAAUGCUCCUUUUCUUUUUUGUCCCUUUGUUCUCGCCCUUUUCUUUCGUACAACUCGCUCUUCUUUUCCAGCUGUUCUUUUUUUCUUUUCUUUUUUUCGGUUCUCUGCCCAAACCCUUAAUGAAGACUAAUUGGUGUACGAUGAUAUUGAGCGCCAUCGUCGACCGAUCAAGUUCGCUAAACUCAAGUCAUCAACGGACUGACUAUCCUUGUUUGAACAGGAGCUUCCACCAGCGUGGCAGGAAAAUGAAAGCAAAAACUCAAGCAAGAACUCAUUGAUUUUCUAAGAUUUGGUCAUAAGUAUCGAUGAAAAGAAACUUUAAUACUGCUGCUCCGAGAAUGGAAGCACUCCCAACAAGAAAACCCAAGUGAUCGAAUUCAAUUCACGGCGGAUGAUGCGAGUUUAACAGUCAUUCUCUACGACAAUCACAAUAGCGAUGCAGUAAUUUUGAACUCCCCAGUGAGAUGUCUCUUGAUGCGGCAGAGGAAUCCGAUCUAUUACUUUUUUAUAUCAUCACUAAAAUUUUGUUACAUAAUUUAAUUUACAAUUGUAUCAUCUACAUGAAAAUUUGAAAUACGAUCUAACUAAACGGAAUAAAUCGAAUCUCACUAAAUCGAAAUGUUAAACAGAAAAUAGAAUGCCCAGAUGAGAAUCUGACUUGACAGUCUAGAAAAAAACUGGAAUUCUUUCUGAUAAAUCUUUAAGUUCUAACUAAAACAUGUACUGUGUUUCUAGCUGAUGUCUACUUCUGUUUUCCUUUCUUGCCGACUAGCUCUAUACGUAAGGACCGGGUCGUGAUGGUGUGAAUGCUUCGCCGGGGAGUCUCGACUAAAAGCAGCCUCCCUCCGACCGGGAUUCUCCUGCUUUUCACCUUUUGCUUUUCACACUAAAUCUUUGCUGAAGAUAUGGUCAUUCAUCGUGAGGGUGUGCUGCAAUUUCUCCGCUGCCGUGUCCUUCUUGACCACGCUCUUCUCCUCAUCAGAGCAAUCUCCACCGAAGCCCACCGACAGUUCCACUUGCGCUCUUCUUUUAUUUCAAGUCUUUUUCAACUUUCUCUGCUUUCGGUUCCGCAUGGCCCGACCAUGUCCCCUCGUCCUUGUCUCGGUGUUCAGUUAGUCGACACGUUUCCACCGUAUCGUGUCUCACGAGAAUUUGCUCUCCAUUUUUGCAGAAUUUCAGCUCUUCCCUUUCUGUUCCUUUUUUGUGUUUUCACACUUCUAUUUCCCUUCCUUCGCACUCGCACGAAUGCCGUGUCGAAAGUGAACUCAAGUUGACCAUUUCGGUUCACAAAAAUUCGCAAUUUUAUUGGAAACGGUCUGUAAUUUUAUAUGCGAAAGAAUGCAAUAGAGAUUGAGAAUGCGAGAUUACAAAUGCUUUUUUCUUAAUAAGGGGUCAAAUUAUCAGUGAAUUUGAUUGCUGAAUUUCAUGAGAAUGCGGAUAGGACCUUUAGGUGAAAAUCAGUGUCAACAAUAAUUUUCCUCAUAAGUUAGUAAGUUGUUAUUUUCUCUUUAAAUCAUCCCUUCAUUGAUUUUUUUUUUCUUUUUGUCUAAAGAUCCAAACUGGAUGCGAAAUUGAUCUCGUAAAUUAAUUAGUGUAUGUAAAAAAAGAAAAGAAAAGAAAAGAAGAAGAUGAUGUUUUUAUAAUAACUAUAAUAAAUUUGCAUGGAGCACUCCUAUUUUAAUCAAGCUUGCUUUGUUUGAUUAAACUAAACCAGGGUCAUCAAGAAAAACAGCUCUAGUGCGAACGUCCCGAUCGGCUGGAUUCAAUGUUGAUUUAUUUAAAGUAAAGCGAGUUUAAUGUCGCCGUCGCGAUCGUGACCAACUUCGAUUGUGCGCCUUUUCUCUUUUGUCCCCUAGCUCUCCCACUUUUCUUAUGCCCAACUCUCUCUUCCUUUGUUGCUUUCUUUUUCGUUCUGCGCAAACCCUUAGUGAAGACUAAUUGGUGUUUAGUUUUCCAAAGCGGGGCAUUAUGGAGCACCAUCAUUGACCCAUCAGGUUCGCUAAGCUCAGUCAUCAAUUAACUAACUAUUCUUGAUUUGAUUGAACAGAAGCUGCACCAACGUGGCAGGAAAAAGAUAAAAUCAGGCGAGAACACAUUAAUUUUCUAAGACUUGGUCAUAAGUAUUGAUGAAAAGAAACUUUAGUACCGCUGCCCUGAAAAUAGAAGCACUCCCAACGAGUGAAUCCGAGUGACAAUUCAAUUAUUUGACGAAAUCAACUCAAUGACGUAAGUUCAAUAGUUACUCUUUACGGUAAUUACGAUAGUCAUGCUACAAUUUUGAGCAUUGCAAUGAGAUGUUUCAUGAUGUAACAAAAGAAGCCAAUUUAGUCGUGCAAAGAGGUGGCAUUACGACCACAACAUCAGCAAUGAUUGGGGCAGCAAUGACACAUCAAUGAGGCCUAAUCUUAGUGGACUUUUUUUUUUCCCUUUUUACGGAUAAAAUAUGAAUUAGAUAAUUGAUCUCUUAAUAAUAAAUAGAUAAUAGGAAAUAUGAUUCUCCAAUUUCUUUUUGAAUUCACCAUAUGGCAUUUUUUUUGCUAUUUUUUUCAUUUACUAAUUCAAUUCUAUUACUUUUUUAUAUAGUCACAUAAGUUUUAUUACAUAAUUUAUUUUACCAUUGUAUCAUUUACAUGGAAAUUCGAAAUACGAUCUAACUAAAUGGAAUAAAUAGAAUCUCGCUAAAUCGAAAUGUUAAACAGAAAAUGGAAUGGCCAGAUUAGAAUCUGACUUGACAUUCUAGAAAAUACAGGAAUUCAUUCUAAUAAUCUUUAACUAGUAACUGAAACAUGUAGUGUGUUUCUAGCUGAUAUCUCGUUCUGUUUUCCUUUCUGUUCCACUAGCUCUACACGCCACGGCCGGGUCGUGACGGUGUGAAUGCUUAGUCGGAGUCUCGACUAAAAGCCUUCCUUCGGCCGGGAUUCUCCUGCUUUUCACACUGGAUCGUUGCUGGAGAUACGGUCAUUCGUCAUGAGGGAGUGCUGCAAUUUCUCCACUACUGUGUCCUUUUCGACCCCAUUAUUGCCCUCAUCAAAGCAAUCCACCGAAGCCCGCCGAAAGUUCCACUUGCGCUCUUCAUUUAUUUUGCGUCUUUUUCGACUUUCUCUGCUUUCGGUUACGCAUGGCUCGACCAUGUCCCCUCGUCCUCAUCUUCGCGUUCAGUUAGUCAACACGUUUCCACCGUAUCGGGUCCCACCAGAAUUUGCUCUCCAUUUUUGCAGAAUUUCAGCUUUCUCUUUCUGUUCCUUCGUGUGUUUUCACACUGCUAUUUCCCUUCCUUCGCACGCGCAGAAAUGCCGUGUUGAAAGUGGCCUCGAGUCGACCAUCUCGGUGAACCGGAAGUAGGGAGCGGGAAGGACCUAGAAUUCCCGUUUAAAUUUACCUCGAAAAUUUCAGGGCUGGGUCGUGUAACAGGUCGGUUCGCAAGAAUUCACAAUGAAAGUUUUCACAAUUUUAAAUGCGAAGGAAUGUAAUAGGGAUCAAGAAUGCGGGAUUACAAAUGUAUUUCUUUUUAUAGGAGAUCAAGGUAUCACUGAAUUUGAUUGCUGAAUCUCAUCAGAAUGUGGAUAAGACCUUUCCGCGAAAAUCUAAAUGUCAACGGUAAUUUUCCUCAAAAGUUAGUAAGUUAUUAUUUCCCUUUAAAUCAUCCCUUCGUUGAAAUUAUUUUCUUUUUAUCUAAAGAUCCAAACUAUAUAUACCAGACUUAUCUCGUAAAUUAAUUAGUGCAUGUAAAAUUCCAAGUUUGAUUUUAGAUUUAUGCGAUGUAAAUAAGCAGCACUACUCCCAAGGUUUUCCUAAUUAAUGUAAUGCAAAUCAUUUCUAGAGGAAUAAAAGAGCAAAUGCUAGACAUAAUAAAAUUGAAUAUUAUAUGCGCGCGCCCGCAUAUUUAUAUAUAAAGAUGGAUGGAGUAUGAAGAGGAAAAUAGUGUGGUGGCCUUCUUAGGUAAGUUUUGAUUUUAAUUUUUGAGAGUUCGGCAAAAAAAGUGAAUCACAUUUUAAUGCUCAACAAUACUUUUCCACCUCAUUUGGUACACUGAUUUUUUAAAAUCUUUAUAUAAUUAGUACUAUUUUGCCCCCCACCCAAAAAAAAAAAAAAAAAAAAAACCCAAUAGUAUCUUGGGAGCACUUUCGUGUGAGUUUCCUCACUGCCGAACGCGUUUUCUUGAGCAGGGCCGUCCACUCCUUUUGAUGACAAGACAACAACAUGGGAAACAAUUACCCUACACUACUCUUGACGCUCCUCUGGAUCGAUGCUUAACGUGUAAGGGCUGCUUGUGAUUCUCCUUGCAAAGGUAUGUUCUCCUUCUUUGAUAACCAAUUUUCCUCUUUUUUUUCGAUAAGUAUGAUAUUAAUUUACUCUGUGUAGAUCUAGUGUAUCUCUCUAUUUGUGCUUUUGUUCCCAGUAAAAUAAGGAGAGAGAUCUCUGUACUUCAGGCGUGCACAACUCAGGCGGUUUGGUUCUGUUAGGAGGAUUCUACGGUUUUGCAACGAUUUCAAAUAUACCUGGUCAGCUAGCUUUUAACAUAACUUAAGAAUCCUUUAUUUUUCUAUAUGCAUUAUUUUUUUAAAUUGAUCGUCUGUUUUUAACUGUUCUAUGCUCUUGCUUGGCAUUGUCUCUGUUUUGUAAGAAUCAAAUAAAGAAUCUCCGACUGAGCAUCCUUAUUUAACUGGAUUACUUCUUGUAGGAUAUUGGUAGCGGCAAUGCCUAGAGAAAAGGAUCCAUUUUGGAAGUACGCGACGUUGCUGAAUGAAAAUAAUAGCAAGUGGAGGUGUAACUUGUGCGGACAGAAUUAUAGUGGACGUGCUACAAGGAUCAAGGCUCACUUGGCUGGAUUGACCCGCUUUGGUAUUAAAGGAUGCGAGAGAGUCGAUGCUAAUGUUAGAGCAGAAGCCAAGGACGCACUUGAGCCUAAAAAAGUGACGGACUCGAGCGACCAAGGUGUAUCUGACGAGAGGAUACCAGGAAAUGUUAAAGCAGCUCCGACCAGCACAACUCAUCCACCAAAUGCGGAGGGAGGAAACAAUUUACAACUUCCACAAGGUAUGCAUUUCCAAAUUACCGCAGAAAAUGGCUGUUUAGUAAAGUGAAUUUUUUUGAUCUAAUCUUAAAUAUGGUUUGAGGUUUGCUUUAGUCUUUUAGGGUCUGCAUGACAAACUUCCCCAGCCCAAGAAUUUCUAUUCUUCUCUUCCCCAGAACCAAAAAAGAAUAGAAACCCGCAUGAUAAUGGCAAGUUAAUUUUUUGUUCCCGGGAACAAAAUGUUAGCCCGGAAAUGGUUUUGGAAUAGAAAUGAGAAGUAAAAAAAAGUUGCUUCUUGUUCCCGGGAACAAGUUUAAGAAAUAAGUUAAUUUUUUUUUCUUUUAUUCUUCUAUUGUUGACUGCCAUUGACCGCUGUUGACCGUUGCCGCCGCCGCCGGUCGCCUCCGCCGGUCGCCGCCGGUCGCCGCCGGACGCCGCUGGUCGCCGGAGGCUGAUCGACCUCNNNNNNNNNNNNNNNNNNNNNNNNNNNNNNNNNNNNNNNNNNNNNNNNNNNNNNNNNNNNNNNNNNNNNNNNNNNNNNNNNNNNNNNNNNNNNNNNNNNNUGUUUUUUACCAAACGCGAUUCAAACGCAUUUCUAUUCUUUUUCUAUUUCUAGAUGUGUAGUUAUCAAACGGGUUUUUUUACAUAGAAAUUGUUCCCCAGAAUAGAAAUAGAAAAGAACUAUUUCUGAAAAGAAAUUGUUCCCCAGCCAAGAAAUGUUCUCAUGCGCACCCUUACUGUCUAAACAUCCAUUUCAAGGCAUGUCAAAGCAAUCAGUUUCCCUGCGCCCUAAAUUUCAAUAUGUUACUGAAGACAGCUAUAUAAAUCCGACUAAUGCUGUUGUAUAUCUCAAUCCAUCACUAGAAAAUGGGCAGGAGAUGAGGGCGGCCAACGUCGCAAACCCCCCAUUCGAUGGUGCAACAAGUUACCAUAGAGCACCUCCCACGCCAAAUUCACCCUUCACUGUUGAAGAUUUUACUUCUUUGAUGGAGUCUCUUGACGCUGAGACAUCAAAUGCACAACAGAAUCCAGGCGCGUUAUUGCUAUCAUCAAACUAUCAGCUCCUUGAUAAUACUUUUCAGAAUGAGUUACAGGGGCCCCUUUUGCCUGGUCCCAUUGCAUCGGAUACUCAACUCAGUAACAUGGCCACAACCAAAACUUCCCAGCAUUCUAGUCAACCACUUCAAAGCGACAGGGAGUGUGGAUACGGCACCGGUCUAGAGCCACCUAUUCCAUCACUACCUUCCACUGGACCUCUUCUUGUCGAGUCAGUUGACCCCCUGCAGAUUCCAGAGGACAUCACAAAUACAAUAGGCCCAUGGACAUCAGAAGGUAUGAAAUUAUCUAUGUAUGUUAAAUGAGUAUCGUUAACUAAGUGCCCAUUCCACUUGUUAAGUAUAUUUGAUAAGAAACUUUAUUUUUAUUUUUAAUGCAUUGAUUAUACAUAAUACAAGAGAGACGGUGCAUUGGGAAUUACAACAUUUCCUUAAUUGGGUUUUUAACAUAAUAACAGUGCAUGGAAUGUGUUGCAAGUGUCACCGGACCAACUGGAUCCGGUAAACUAACUAUAAUCGGCAUUCUCCCAUGUUCCAAUUAACCAUACCCUAUUUUGAUUAAUAACACGCAGGUGAAGGCACAUCAUGUUCAAUGAUGGCUUUAGCGGAAGAAGUACGGUCUCCUUUUAACUUGCCAUGGCAACCACAGUGUUCCAUUCAAUCUCAAAUGCCAAUGAAUUUCCAGCAGAUUCCAGCAGGGGUAUCGUCAUUCCAGUAUAAUCAAUUACCUGCUACAGGUAAUUCACAUUGCUUGCAGGGUAGGAAUCAGCACUCUCAAUUGCAAACUCCAAUGGACAUAGAUGCCUCAAUUGCAUCACGGCAUACAAGUGACUCUCACAUUAUUGAGGCAACAACGGUUGAUUCGCAAGUUCCAGAGGCGGCAACAAAUGCAACAGGCCCAUUGUCAUCACAAGGUGCGUUUGGAUUAAUCUUCAUUGUUACUAUAUGGUUCCACUAGAUUCUUAAAUAUCCCCAAAUUAUUUUAUCGAAAUCUAACAUAUUUUUUUAUAAAUUAGAUAUGAACAGGGGUUCUCCAGUCAUGGACGUACGGAGCAUCUAUGCCAACGAUGAAGAGAUAAGAAACCUGAAAAGAAAAGUGGAAGAACUCGACGACAAAGAAGCUGUCAUAAAGGAGCAGAUGGAGAUAGAGUCUGCUACUUCCUCAGUUCGGAAGAAGCCGAGGAUAUUGGUUGAUAGAUGGCUAAAAGAGACAGAAAGAGCAAGAAAUAAUUUCCAAAUAAUUGGUCAAGCCAAUGCGGAAACUUUGCCACCAAAGGAACAGGUGGAGACAUUGACGAGAGAAGUGGAAGAACUCAUAGGAAAAACGCUUCCACAAACACUACUCAUAGAGGAGAGAGAUGCCAAAGGAGUCAAAUUUUUUGAACGAAAGCUAACAGGUGAAGCGAUUCAUAGGAAUAUUGAGUUGAUUUGGGAUCGUCUGAAGGAGAAUCGUGUAUGCAAAUUGGGUAUUUAUGGAAUGGGUGGUGUUGGGAAGACAACUAUUAUGAUGCACAUACAUAAUAGACUUCUCAAUGAUGCAACCUUCGAUGGUGUGUUUUUUAUCACUGUGUCUCAAGAUUUCAGCAUUAAGAAGCUGCAGAGUGAUAUUUGGAAGGAUCUAAAAUUAGGCGUUAUGGAGGUUGAGGAGGUUGAGGAUGAGAAGAAACGAGCAGCGAUGUUGUCAGAGCAUUUAGAAAGAAAGAAGAAUUGUGUAUUGAUUCUUGAUGAUGUGUGGGAACGUGUUGAUCUUGAAGAGGUGGGAAUCCCUAUUAGAGCACAUGGAUUUAAGUUUGUCUUAACCACUCGAUCCUUUGAUGUGUGCCGCCAGAUGCAAUGUCAAGAAAAGAUCAAAAUCAAGUCUCUAUCUCAAGAAGAAGCCGAGAGUUUGUUUUUGGAGGAGCUUGGACCCAAUAUGCCACUUAAUUUGGAAAUUGAAGCAAUUGUGAAGUCCAUUGUUAAAGAAUGUGCAGGCUUGCCUAUUGGAGUCAUCACGAUGGCAAGAAGCAUGCGAGGAGUGACUGAUGUGUUUGAAUGGAGGGAUUCCCUGGUUAAAUUGGAAGAAUCAAGUAAAGGGCAAACAGAUAUGGAGAAGAAGGUUUUAAUGAAUCUGAAAGUCAGUUAUGAUCGCCUUGGUAAUCCUGAUGUGCAACAAUGCUUCUUAUCUUGUGCACUUUAUCCAGAAGAUAAAUUGAUUGAUAAGUUCAAGUUGGUAGAAUUCUUUAUUGACCAAGGAUUGAUUGGUGGAUUGAAUACGAGGAAAAAACAAUAUGAUAGAGGCUUCACCAUAUUGAACAAACUACAAAAUGUUUGCCUAUUGGAAGAUCAUGGGAGCAAGACGAAGAUGCACGAUUUGAUUAGAGACAUGGCAUUGCACAUCAUGAGUGCAACUUCCAUUGUAAAAGCAGGAAAGUUGUUGGAAAGUAUUCCAUCUGAGGAAUAUUGGACAGAUGCUUUGGAGAAAGUUUCUCUGAUGGGAAACAAAAUAAGUGAAAUUCCAUUGAACAUGUCACCAAAUUGUCCUAAACUAUCAACUUUACUACUGAAUGGAAGCUUGUUAGAGGAUGCAGUCCUCCCUGGUUCUUUCUUCAAACAGUUAUGUGGGCUAAAGGUUCUAAACCUGAGUGGAUGUGAACUAACAGAACUUCCAAAUUCCAUCUCAGAUUUGGUAAACUUAAGGGCACUAUUGCUUAGAGGGUGUCGGGUAUUGUGCCAUAUUCCUUAUUUAGGGAAGCUCACAUCUUUAAGGAAGCUGGACGUUGGUGGCUGUUUUCGGCUUGAAGAAGUGCCCGAGGGUCUGGAAAUGUUGGUGAACUUGAGAUACCUUGAGAUUUGUGUUGAAUUACCUGAAAGAGUACUGGAGGGUUUGCUAAACUUGCAGCAUCUUAAAGUUGAUUUUCUAGAUGGACAAGACAUGACAAAAUUGAGGGCACUGGAGACACUCGAAUGCUCUUUUGAAGAUGCGAAUAAUUUCAACGAGUGUGUGAGGG
rnacentral:lncRNA from 1 species